rnacentral:rRNA from 1 species
GAUGAACGCUGGCGGCGUGCCUAAUACAUGCAAGUCGAACGAACAGACGAGGAGCUUGCUCCUCUGACGUUGGCGGCGGGCGGGUGGGUAACACGUGGAUAACCUACCUAUAUGUCUGGGAUGACUUCGGGAAAGCGGAGCUAAUACCGGAUCAUCUAUUGAACCGCAGGGUUCAAGAGUGAAAGACGGUUUUGCUGUCAGUUAUAGAGGGAUCCGCGCCGGAUUAGCUAGUUGGUGGGGUAACGGCCCACCAAGGCGACGAUGCGUAGCUGGUCUGAGAGGAUGAUCAGCCACACUGGAACUGAGACACGGUCCAGACUCCUACGGGAGGCAGCAGUGGGGAAUAUUGGACAAUGGGCGCAAGCCUGAUCCAGCCAUACCGCGUGGGUGAAGAAGGCCUUCGGGUUGUAAAGCCCUUUUGUUGGGAAAGAAAAGCAGCAGGUUAAUACCCCGCUGUUCUGACGGUACCCAAAGAAUAAGCACCGGCUAACUUCGUG